GCGGUGGAUGAUGUGGUUAAUUCGAUGCAACGCGAAAACCUUACCACCUUGACAUGUACGGAAUCCUUUAGAGAUAGACGGAGUGCUCGAAAGACGAGCCGUAACACAGGUGCUGCAUGGCUGUCGUCAGCUCGUGUCGUGAGAUGUUGGGUUAAGUCCCGCAACGAGCGCAACCCUUGUCAUUAGUUGCUACAUUCAGUUGGGCACUCUAAUGAGACUGACCGGUGACAAACCGGAGGAAGUGGGGAUGACGUCAAGUCCUCAUGGCCCUUAUAGGUGGGGCUACACACGUCAUACAAUGGAUGGUACAAAGGGUCGCCAACCCGCGAGGGGGAGCCAAUCCCAUAAAGCCAUUCGUAGUCCGGAUCGCAGUCUGCAACUCGACUGCGUGAAGUCGGAAUCGCUAGUAAUCGUGGAUCAGAAUGUCACGGUGAAUACGUUCCCGGGUCUU
rnacentral:rRNA from 1 species